rnacentral:tRNA from 1 species
CGGGGCAUGGCUCAGCUUGGUAGAGCAUCUGCUUUGGGAGCAGAGGGUCGCAGGUUCAAAUCCUGCUGCCCCGA